rnacentral:rRNA from 1 species
UACGGAGAUGGCCAAGCGUUAUCCGGAUUCAUUGGGUUUAAAGGGUGCGUAGGCGGAAUGAUAAGUCAGUGGUGAAAUCCUGCAGCUUAACUGCAGAACUGCCAUUGAUACUGUCAAUCUUGAGUACAUUUGAUGUGGGCGGAAUGUGUCAUGUAGCGGUGAAAUGCUUAGAUAUGACACAGAACACCGAUUGCGAAGGCAGCUCACAAAACUGUAACUGACGCUGAGGCACGAAAGCGUGGGUAGUCAAACAGG